rnacentral:rRNA from 1 species
CUACGGGAUGCUCCAGUGGGGAAUAUUGCACAAUGGGCGCAAGCCUGAUGCAGCCAUGCCGCGUGUAUGAAGAAGGCCUUCGGGUUGUAAAGUACUUUCAGCGGGGAGGAAGGGAGUAAAGUUAAUACCUUUGCUCAUUGACGUUACCCGCAGAAGAAGCACCGGCUAACUCCGUGCCAGCAGCCGCGGUGAAUACGGCGGGUGCAAGCGUUAAUCGGAAUUACUGGGCGUAAAGCGCACGCAGGCGGUUUGUUAAGUCAGAUGUGAAAUCCCCGGGCUCAACCUGGGAACUGCAUCUGAUACUGGCAAGCUUGAGUCUCGUAGAGGGGGGUAGAAUUCCAGGUGUAGCGGUGAAAUGCGUAGAGAUCUGGAGGAAUACCGGUGGCGAAGGCGGCCCCCUGGACGAAGACUGACGCUCAGGUGCGAAAGCGUGGGGAGCAAACAGGAUUAGAUACCCCCGUAGUC